AAUGAAGUGCCUGAUUAAAGGAUUACCUUGAUAGGGUAAAAUAUACACUAAAAAUGUCUUCAUUA
rnacentral:tRNA from 1 species